rnacentral:rRNA from 1 species
CCUACGGGGGGCAGCAGUGGGGAAUAUUGCGCAAUGGGCGAAAGCCUGACGCAGCGACGCCGCGUGAGGGAUGAAGGUCUUCGGAUCGUAAACCUCUGUUAGCAGGGAAGAACGGUCACUGUGCUAAUCAGCAGUGAAUUGACGGUACCUGCAAAGGAAGCACCGGCUAACUCCGUGCCAGCAGCCGCGGUAAUACGGAGGGGGCGAGCGUUAAUCGGAAUUAUUGGGCGUAAAGCGCUCGUAGGCGGUAUGUCAAGUCAAGGGUGAAAUCCCCGCGCUCAACGUGGGAACUGCCUUUGAAACUGGCAACCUGGAGUGUGUGAGAGGAUAGUGGAAUUCCAGGUGUAGGAGUGAAAUCCGUAGAUAUCUGGAGGAACAUCAGUGGCGAAGGCGACUAUCUGGCACAUGACUGACGCUGAGGAGCGAAAGCGUGGGUAGCAAACAGGAUUAGAUACCCCAGUAGUC